CGAGAUUGCGCCACUGUACUCCAUCCUGGGCCACAGAGUGAGAAACCGUCUCAAAAAAAAAAAAAAAAAAAAAUAGGCCAUAGCCUGAGCUUAGCCUGCUGGCCAUAGUCUACAGACCCAUGCUAUAAUACACGAGUAACUGGUGUGAGUAACUACACACAGACAGAAAAGCACCCAGUGAACAGUGCCUUCAUUUCUCGAAUUUCCUGCUUUCUGUCAACAUGCAUCACACAGUUACAUGCUCUUCCUGUGGUUGCAAUCAGUUUAUCUUUGCAUUCUGCUGUUUUAAAAUUUAACGCCCAUUUCUGUGGAUUGGCAUAGCCCACAUUCUUGUGAAUCACCCACAGUGAUUCCUGCAGUGUUGUCCCCAGCCUCAAGCCUCUCUGCACCGUAAUUGUGCUUCUUUUCCUCAGAUACCUGCCUUGCAUUGGCCCUGGGUAAAUGUUUCCCUUGGCUGUGAAUAGGCAAUUAAAAUUCUGAACCUUUUAUGGCUCUGGAAGCUUAUCCGAUGAAACAAUACUCAUCCAGGCGGAUGGCCCACCAGCGCAAAGGGCUGAAAAGUUCCAUGGCAGCCUCAUAACUGGAGGGUGUGUCCAUGAGGAGGGUUUCGAUGACACGCUGAAAGCUCGGGCAGAUCUCUGCAGAAGCUGCAACACAGAGGAGAGAAGGCACAUGUCUCCAGGCCCCUUUCCAAGCUGGCUAGCCCUCUGGCUGGGUCUGCCCAGAUGCAAACAGCCAGGCCCAUCAGCGAGAGAUAGCAGCCUUUUCAUCGAUGGACUAGAGUGUAAGAUUUGUGGAUUGCCCGAGUCUUCCUUAGACUUCUUGGGUUGAGGGCUGAGGCCGCUGUAAGCCAAGGUACGCAACGCUUGCUAAACAGGAAUCCCUGGAAUGAAUCCAUGCAUGAGGCCUUUGUGCCAUGUGACAGUUGAAGGCUGUGGUGACCCCGGAACCGUCCCACUCCGAGACGCCUUAACACCGUUUUUCUGCUGUUACAAACCACAGAGCAACGCGUGUGCCUCCUCCCGCCCUGGGGACUCUUUCUGUGGGAGAGGUGCCUGGAUUUAGAGGAGCGACCACUCUUCAUUUGUAGGAUCUUGGUCACUUUCCCAGUUGUCACUCGGCCCACAAACUAGGAUGUGAGCAGCAUAUUAAGAAUCUGCAGAGAUGUUCCCGUCUGCCCGGCAUAUGGAUGUCCUUCUGGGCUGCAAAGUGGCAUCCUGUGGGCAACUCCCCCCACAACAACCAGCUGUGAGCUGUGCCCAGGCACAGAGGGACCUGGCUUUCCCUGUUUCUGCAGAUGGAGCCCAGGGUUUCAGGGAGGGAGGGGGCAGGCUGGGACCUGUUGGGGAUCUGGGCACUUUCUCAUGCUCCUUGAGCUGCAAGUCAUAGAAGGAGUGGGGUGGGAGCUGGGAAUGUACCUUCCCAAGGCCACUGGCAGAACCAGCAGGCCCUUUGCUCUGGGAUGAGCUCCCUCUGAGGGGUGGGGACAGUAAAGCGGACCGAAGUCCCUGUUCUGCGGGAUGGAAACUGGCUCCCCUCCAUUGUACAGGCCAGCUCUGGGGAUUUGGGCAGCAGAUUUGGGGUUGACAGCAGAAUGACAUGAUCACCAGUUGACCUUGGCCAGGAUGCCAGCUUACUUUCUCGCUUACUUCUGCAGGUUCUUUGUUCUGCGGGUGAGUCACCCAGGUCCUGCCCUCCGUGCCUGUCUGCCCUCUCCCACUUUCCCUGCCCUGAGCUUGUUCCCACUUGUAGAUUUGGCAGGUCACUGCCAAGGCCCCUAUUCCCCCAACAUGGCCAGUGCCCUAAGGGUGGGUUGUACAGGGAGGAGCUGGCGUGGUCAGUAGACUUGAAUCAGGGACAACUCGGCUGCUGAAGGCUGAGGGGGCCUUGCAGGGCUGCAGGUGCCUUGUGCACACAGGGAGUGGGUAGAGAAGGCAACCAGGGGCUCCUUCAGGCCUUAAUGCUCUGCAGCCCAGUGAGGCUGUGCCCAGAGAGUCUGGCGAGGCCCUGGUCUGCUCCCCCAGCCAAUGGCCUGAUGCUGUUCCAUCUGGGCACCCUGUCACUUUUCGUUCAUCAGGGAGUACAGGGUGAUUCAGGGUCUCAAAUGCAGGUGUUCACAAAAUGAAAUAGAACUUCCCUCUAUCCCCGUGCUUCUUUUUAUUUUUAUAACAAAUAUACAUCGUUAUAUUUUAUUUUUAUAUUUAUGUAUUUUAUAUAUAUGUGACAUCUACUACAUGACAGAAAAUAUUUAUGGCCAGGCAAGGUGGCUUACACCUGUAAUGCCAGCACUUUGGGAGGCUGAGGCAGGCGGAUCACCUGAGGUCGAGAGUUGGAGACCAGUGUGACCAACAUGGAGAAACCCCAUCUCUACUAAAAAUACAAAAUCAGCUGGGGGUGGUGGCGCAUGCCUGUAAUCCCAGCUACUCGGGAAGCUGAGGCAGGAGAAUCGCUUGAACCGGGGAGGCGGAGGUUGUGGUGAGCCGAGAUUGCACCAUUGCACUCCAGCCUGGCAACAAGGGAUAAACCCCGUCUCAAAAAAAAAAAAAGAAAAAAAAAAAGAAAAAAAUAUUUAUAAUGUAACUAAUAUAGCUAAAAUAAAAUGUAAUUUCAGUCUCAAGCCUUCAUUCUGUUAAGGGGACAGAAACUUAAUCUUGGUCAUCUUGGGGUCUCCCUCCCUGGGGCUGUGCCUGACUUCCAGGGGGCUCGGCGUUGGCAGGAUUUCUGGUGCUUGAGGUCACCUGUCAGCCUGUCUCUUGUCAUUGGCUAUCCGCCGUGCCAUCUGCUCCUGUGUGUCCUUGGCACUGUUCGCAUGUCUCCAGCUCGCUGGCUUUCUCUGCCACCUUGGAGCCACUCCUGGGUGCACAGGAGUCUUACUGCUCCCACGCUGUGCUGGGGCCUGGGAAGACUGCUGUGGCCUACCUGCCUCCGUGUAGCACACACACCCAUUUCUUCUUCUUCUUCUCCUUCUCCUUCUUCAGACAGAGACUCACUCUGUCACCUAGGCUGGACUGCAGUGGUGCCAAAUUGGCUCACUGCAACCUCCGCCUCCCGGGUU
rnacentral:lncRNA from 10 species